rnacentral:misc_RNA from 1 species
UAGCCCUGUCUAGACUAUCCUGCA